AAAUUCUGAAGCCCUAAUCUCUCAUCUCUUUUCCCACACGCCUUUCUUCACCCCUUACCUCUUUCAUGCCAACUUUCAAACUCCUUCGGCCAUAGACAAAGCUUGUCCCUCUAUUUUGGUGAAAAUUAUCCUUCUCUCUCCAUCUUAUCGCCUUAGAUAUUUUUUCUCUUUAUCCUCAACGUAUCUUUAACGAUUUGGUCAACCAAAAGAGCCAAAAGAACCUUUUCAGAAAAUCAGAUUUGGGAAACUGCUCUUUCAAAAUCCUAGUCUGUGACCCUCUCAUUUUGAAUUUCAAACUCAAUCUCUAACCCUAGACUUUUCCCCUAUAAAUACUAUUGUUUUUUUACAAGUGGCGAGGAACUUUUUUGGAGAGCGGCCACCAUUUUUGAACUACAAGAUUCAGCCGCCUACAUCUACACUAGACAUAAGAAUUAGCCACCUCUUGAACACUACUUUAUCACUCACAUCUGAUAUAGUCUCAAAUACUCAAGACUCUCUUACAAAACUUUCUUUUCUGUCUUGGUGAACUUUAGCCGUGACAGAUAUUUUGGAACUCAUUCCGAUCGAGGUUCGAAUCUUUUACAUAACGAGAGAGUAGAUUCGAGGCCAACAUCGUCCUAGUUCACUGCCCCACAACAGGUAAAAUCUGACUUUUUUUAAUUCUGAUCUUUCCCUUAAGGAAAUUGUAUUUGCUUUUUAAAAAAAAACAUGUCUUAGGUUUACGUUUUUAUUUGUUGUAGUGUAAUGUACAGAUGACAUUCUUUUAAUACUAAAAUGAUGUGAAGAAUCCAUGUUUUAAGUCAUGUUGUAUUCAAAUUGGCUGUGUUAAACUUUAUUGACCAAACCAUGUUAUUUGCUAUUGUUUUCUUGGCUAUUCGAAGAAGUGAUGUUGUUCAAAUGUAUUAUAAACCAUGUUCUUUAAAAUUUCAUGUCUUAACAACCAUUCUGUUCUAAAAUACUUCUAAAACUAUAUUUUUGAAGUGUAAAAUAAUGGCAGAAAUCAUAGCCUGUGGGUUAUUUUGGUAAUUAUAGAGAUGACGACAGUGGGCGAUAAUAAUAUUCAUGCUUAGUUUAAGUACUUCUCUAGGAUGUUAAUUGAUCAUGUUCCAAGUAUGUUUAGAAGCACAUGAUUUUGGUUUCUGCUGUCAGUAGUACUAAUAGAAGCUGACCACUGUUUCACUUGCUUAGAUAAUGGAUAUAAAAAGGGUAUAAUCUGUUAAGACAUUUAAGCUGAUCUAUUGUAUCUCUAAAUAACAAAAUACAUGACUCUACAUUUUCUUGGUUUUGAUAACUCAAAAUACCAUGCCAUUAGCUUCCUUUUACAAACUUUGUUCAAAGUAGGCGUUGGCUAGUUAUGGGUAUGUGUUAGCUCUCUGUUUCUUUUUCUAUAUAGAUGUGGUAACAAGUUUUCUGCGACCCUCUUUUAACACUUAGAAACCAAAACAAUAGAAUUUAAUAUCUCAUUUUAAAUAGACUCUUGCUAACGAAGUGAAUGCUACUGAUGAGAACUUGCAAGUCUUUUUUGUUGUUGACAUCCUUCGGUUAAUAAUCUAAAAGUGGCCUUAGAAACUGUAGAAUAUAUCCUUGUCCGCCCAUUUAAUUUAGACAUUUUAGGAUAAUACUCAAUAGAAGAUAAAUUUAUAUCUUAACUUGAAAUAUUACUUAAGAAGCUAUUUUCUGUUAGUAGGAGGUGUUUCUUUAUAUUUUGGUCACCAUGGCAUGUGAGCAUAUUUGUUUUAAUACUAGUUGGAAAGAUCUAUAUUUCCUCUCUGACUUUCAUGUCUGUUAAGAAGCAUAUGUUCUUCUCUAACUCUUUUAUUCUUUCUUUGUUUAUCUUGCAUGAACGUUGGAGCGGAAGAGUCCCACUUUGAGACUCGACGAUGCUGCAGCACUGUACCCGCAAGGAAUCAGCGCCCUUAUAUAUUCUCACACUGCCGUACAGAGACUGCACAUCACACUCUUUUUUGCUCUAUCACUCAAAUAACGAAAUGACAGAGGAUUAUGUCAUAUUAUGAGAGCCCAAAUAUAACUGUUAAUUCAUCUUAUUUUAUUUCACUUAUAUUGAUUACUUUUUGGUGUGACUAACAUUUUACUUCCAAUUACGUAAUUACUGUUUGAACUUGUUUUUAGUAUAAU
rnacentral:lncRNA from 1 species